UGGGGAGUACGGUCGCAAGAUUAAAACUCAAAGGAAUUGANGGGGACCCGCACAANCGGUGGAUGAUGUGGAUUAAUUCGAUGCAACGCGAAAAACCUUACCUACCCUUGACAUGUACGGAACCCCUGGUGAGAGCCGGGGGUGCCCGAAAGGGAGCCGUAACACAGGUGCUGCAUGNCUGUCGUCAGCUCGUGUCGUGAGAUGUUGGGUUAAGUCCCGCAACGAGCGCAACCCUUGUCCCUAGUUGCUACGCAAGAGCACUCCCAGGGAGACUGCCGGUGACAAAUCCGGAGGAAGGUGGGGAUGACGUCAAGUCCUCAUGGCCCUUAUGGGUAGGGCUUCACACGUCAUACAAUGGUCGGAACAGAGGGUUGCCAAGCCGCCGAGGUGGAGCCAAUCCCAGAAAACCGAUCGUAGUCCGGAUCGCACUCUGCAAACUCGAGUGCGUGAAGUCUGGAAUCGCUAGUAAUCGCGGAUCAGCAU
rnacentral:rRNA from 1 species